rnacentral:rRNA from 1 species
GCACAAGCGGUGGAUGAUGUGGAUUAAUUCGAUGCAACGCGAAAACCUUACCUACCCUUGACAUGUCCGGAAUCCCGAAGAGAUUUGGGAGUGCUCGCAAGAGAACCGGAACACAGGUGCUGCAUAGCUGUCGUCAGCUCGUGUCGUGAGAUGUUGGGUUAAGUCCCGCAACGAGCGCAACCCUUGUCAUUAGUUGCCAUCAUUUGGUUGGGCACUCUAAUGAGACUGCCGGUGACAAACCGGAGGAAGGUGGGGAUGACGUCAAGUCCUCAUGGCCCUUAUGGGUAGGGCUUCACACGUCAUACAAUGGUCGGUACAGAGGGUUGCCAACCCGCGAGGGGGAGCUAAUCCCACAAAGCCGAUCGUAGUCCGGAUCGCAGUCUGCAACUCGACUGCGUGAAGUCGGAAUCGCUAGUAAUCGUGGAUCAGCAUGUCACGGUGAAUACGUUCCCGGGUCUU